AGUGAACGCUGGCGGUAGGCCUAACACAUGCAAGUCGAACGGCAGCACAGUAAGUGCUUGCUCUUACGGGAGGCGAGUGGCGGACGGGUGAGGAAUACAUCGGAAUCUACUUUUUCGCGGGGGAUAAUGUAGGGAAACCUACGCUAAUACCGCAUACGUCCUACGUGUGACAGCAGGGGACCUUCGGACUUUUUGCGAUUGAAUGAGCCGAUGUCGGAUUAGCUAGGUGGCGGGGUAAAGGCCCACCAAGGCGACGAUCCGUAGCUGGUCUGAGAGGAGGAUCAGACACACUGGAACUGAGACACGGUCCAGACUCCUACGGGAGGCAGCAGUGGGGAAUAUUGGCCGAUGGGCGCAGGCCUGAUCCAGCCAUACCGCGUGGGUGAAGAAGGCCUUCGGGUUGUAAAGCCCUUUUGUUGGGAAAGAAAAGCAGCAGGUUAAUACCCCGCUGUUCUGGCGGUACCCAAAGAAUGAGCACCGGCUAACUUCCUG
rnacentral:rRNA from 1 species